GACGAACGCUGGCGGCGUGCCUAAUACAUGCAAGUAGGACGCAGUUGCGAACGGGUGAGUAACGCGUAGGUAACUACCUAUUAGAGGGGGAUAACUAUUGGAAACGAUAGCUAAUACCGCAUACUAGUAGAUUGACCUGCGUUGUCUUAUCUAGUAUGUAGGGUAAGGGCCUACCUAGGCAACGAUACAUAGCCGACGUGAGAGGGUGAUCGGCCAAAAUGGGACUGGUACAAGGCCCAGAAGCCGACGGGAGGCAGCAGUAGGGAAUCUUCGGCAAUGGGGGGAACCCUGAACGAGCAACGCCGAGGGAGUGAAGAAGGUUUUCGGAUCGUAAAGCUCUGUUGUGAAGGAAGCGGUACUUAACCAGAAAGGGACGGCUAACUACGUGCCAGCCGCCGCGGUAAUUC
rnacentral:rRNA from 1 species